rnacentral:piRNA from 1 species
UGGUGACUGUCUGGGAUGACGAUG